GGAUAUUCAUCUUCCUGCGGGGUCGUUACUGGCAUGUCGUUGAUUACUGGAAAAGUACUAGACGUUGAAGUCAUGUCAAAAGAAUGCUGGGAGUGUAUUACCUGGAGCAGCAAGAAAGGUUCAGAGGAACUUGAACAUUGGUGGGAAGAUUAUCAACAUUGCUCAAACCGGGGUGUCAGACAAAGAAGUGUCGCAUGAAAAUAGACUAUGACCGUAUCUCCCAUUCCACACUAACGAGCUCCGACAAGCAUAAAAAUAAAAGAAAAAAGAUAAGACAGAGAAAAAAGGCUAUAUUGACAACCUGUCAGAAGAGGAAGUUACCCAAUAUGAAGCUGGGGCAUUCUGAGCCCUAAACCUGAACUGAUUAGUUAUACCAAACUUUGCGACUGAUUUUCUCAAUUUGUCAUUUUCGGGGUGUUUUUGAAUUAGUUUUUGCGAUUUCUGAAAAACUAUAAAUGGUAUUGACCUGAAAUUUUCACUGAGUAUUCAUGUGCCUAUUAGUUAUGCAAGGAACUAGGAUUUUUGAAUUUGGACUAACCAAACAUAAGUUCUAGACAUUUUGGUCAAUGAACUUAGGAUGUUUUGCUUUACCAUUAUUCGGGAUGCAAAAUUUUUAUGAAUCCAUGGCCAUAUCUAGUUGAUUCUAGUUCCUUGCAUAGCCCAAGAUGUGGUUAUAAUAUCUUAAAAGUUUUAAAACCAUACCUAUUAUAUAUUUGCCAAUAUCAAGUUUCUUGCGAUGCCUUAAUUUGCAAUGACGGAAAAGUAGGCUGUAGUAGUAAGGGUGCUACACUAGUGCAAUUCAAUAAAUAUGCACCAAAUUUUUUUUGGUUAAUGUCCUAAGUGUGUUACUUCUGCCCCCCCAAAAUAAUAUCAUUCCAUAUAUUCUGUAGCAAUGAAACAAGCUAUCAAAAAUGGUCGAUUUUUCCUAUCGAGCCACCUUAAG